rnacentral:rRNA from 1 species
CGGACGGGUGAGUAACGCGUGAGCAACCUGCCUUUCAGAGAGGGAUAACGUUUGGAAACGAACGCUAAUACCGCAUGACAUUAUCUUAUCGCAUGGUAGGAUAAUCAAAGGAGCAGUCCGCUGAAAGAUGGGCUCGCGUCCGAUUAGGUAGUUGGUGGGGUAACGGCCCACCAAGCCGACGAUCGGUAGCCGGACUGAGAGGUUGGACGGCCACAUUGGGACUGAGACACGGCCCAGACUCCUACGGAAGGCAGCAG